AGGAAGGGAGAAGCACUGGGCUAUGCAAAACGCACCAAUGCCUGGAAAAUGGGACUCACCUGGGACGCAGUGGUCUCAGGAGUACAUUUAAGCUAGGAAACUUCAGCUGGGAGCAGUGCAGGAGUUGCUUCAGGCUGGACACUCCAUGUUUGAAGUUCUAUAUAUGUUUUAAAAGAUUUCAUUUUUAAAUGUGGACUUGGAGUAUAUUUUUAGAACCUAAAUAAAUCAAUAGAGAGGAGGAGAGGAUGUGAUUAAGAACUCUGAGCUUCUGGAAGCUCAGCGGUAAAGAAUCCACCAGCCAAUGCAGGAGAUGCGGGUUCGAUCCCUGAUCCAGGAAAACCCCACAGACUGUGGAGCAACUAAGCCCAUGUGCCACAAUGGCGCGCAAGCCUGUGCUCUCCAAGAGAAGCCACAAUGAGAGAGCAGCCCCCGCUCGCUGCAACUAGAGAAAAGCCAGCAACGAAGGAAGACCCAGCACAGCCAUUAAAUUAAAAGGGAAAACCCCCCACCCCAAGAAUCCAGACUCUGGACCCAGAUGACUGAACUAUCCCAGCUCAGUCACUUACUAUGAUUUUCCACAGGCCACUUCACUUCUGUGCCUCAUUUUACUUAUUUGUAAAGUGGGAAUAAUAACUGUAUCUCUCUCAUCAGGCUGAGAAAAUUAUGAGUUAAUAUUUUCAUAUAUGUGAAGUGCUUGAAAUAGUACCUGGUACACAGUA
ensembl:lncRNA